rnacentral:rRNA from 1 species
UGGGGAAUAUUGCACAAUGGGGGAAACCCUGAUGCAGCGACGCCGCGUGAACGAAGAAGGUAUUCGUAUCGUAAAGUUCUGUCCUAUGGGAAGAUAAUGACAGUACCAUAGAAGAAAGCUCCGGCUAAAUACGUGCCAGCAGCCGCGGUAAUACGUAUGGAGCGAGCGUUGUCCGGAAUUAUUGGGCGUAAAGGGUACGCAGGCGGUUUAAUAAGUCGAAUGUUAAAGAUCGGGGCUCAACCCCGUAAAGCAUUGGAAACUGAUAAACUUGAGUAGUGGAGAGGAAAGGGGAAUUACUAGUGUAGUGGUGAAAUACGUAGAUAUUAGGAGGAAUACCAGUAGCGAAGGCGACUUUCUGGACACAAACUGACGCUGAGGUACGAAAGCGUGGGGAGCAAACAGG